ensembl:snoRNA
UUUCUCAUCUGACUGCCACAUUUUUCUCCUUCUGAUCAAUUUUAGUGGCUCUGCUUGUGGGACAGAGUGAAAUUGUCAUGCUCUGAAAAGGGAGGAUUUUUCUGUCCUCCUGUAUGACAUAGCUGAACAAUAAAGG